rfam:Canis lupus familiaris chromosome 31, whole genome shotgun sequence.
AGGAGCAACAGCCCUAGUGGCGGGGCCGCUCUGGAAACCUGGAGUCAGCUCCCGCAGGAACUCCGGAGCUCUCCGUCUGCAGGGCCUGGAGGCUCCGGGCGGGG